GUGGGGAAUCUUGCGCAAUGGGCGAAAGCCUGACGCAGCCAUGCCGCGUGAAUGAUGAAGGUCUUAGGAUUGUAAAAUUCUUUCACCGGGGACGAUAAUGACGGUACCCGGAGAAGAAGCCCCGGCUAACUUCGUGCCAGCAGCCGCGGUAAUACGAAGGGGGCUAGCGUUGCUCGGAAUUACUGGGCGUAAAGGGCGCGUAGGCGGACAGUUUAGUCAGAGGUGAAAGCCCAGGGCUCAACCUUGGAAUUGCCUUUGAUACUGGCUGUCUUGAGUACGGGAGAGGUGAGUGGAACUCCGAGUGUAGAGGUGAAAUUCGUAGAUAUUCGCAAGAACACCAGUGGCGAAGGCGGCUUACUGGUCCGGUUCUGACGCUGAGGCGCGAAAGCGUGGGGAGCAAACAGGAUUAGAAACCCGUGUAGUCC
rnacentral:rRNA from 1 species